AACGAACGCUGGCGGCGUGCCUAACACAUGCAAGUCGAGCGAGAAAGUCUUCGGAUGAGUACAGCGGCGGACGGGUGAGUAAUACGUAGGUAAUCUACCUCAAUGUGUGGAAUAACUAAGGGAAACUUUAGCUAAUACCGCAUGUGGUUUCAGAUCGUAAGUUCUGAAAAGAAAGGGGGGUCGUAAGAUCUCUCGCAUUGAGACGAGCCUGCGCAUGAUUAGCUAGUUGGUGAGGUAAUGGCUCACCAAGGCGACGAUCAUUAGCAGAUCUGAGAGGAUGAUCUGCCACACGUGGAACUGACACGACGGUCCAGACUCCGUACGGGAGCAGC
rnacentral:rRNA from 1 species